rnacentral:miRNA from 1 species
UUUCCCAAGAAGCAAACAGUUUAACAUGUAGAAUGUUUACUACAUGUUAAACUGUUUGCUUCUUGGAACC